rnacentral:lncRNA from 1 species
AUAGUAACAUUUACUAAUAAGCAAGGAAACUGUAACUCAUUUUUUUCUGUUAUGCCACUUAAUACUGCUAUGAGAAUAGUUGCCAAAUUAGAGGUCUUACCAAGCUAGGUAUUGUAUAAACAAGAGAAUCGUAAGAAGUUGAAGGGAAGAAUAUAAGAAAAUAAAUGCAAAACAAACUAGCAGCCACCAACCGACACAACAAACCCAACUCAAAUUUAAAAACUUAAAAUACAACUGAUGAAGAAAAAAUACUUUUCUACUAACUUAGAAAUGUCAAAAAUAGUUUGUCCCUGUGGAGUAGUAACACAUUUAACUGGGAUUUUUGAGAUUGUUUUAAUGGAAUAGAGAUCCAGGAUGAAGCUGACAUGUUUCCUAACACAAUUUGUCAAAUACAUCAUAUUCUAAUUACUCUAGGAUGUCCGUGGAUGGAGCACUGAAAUAAACCUUGACUGAAAGCUUGCAGACCCUCAGGCACCACCUGAGACACACUGAAUCAUGGGAUUUGCAGGCACAUCUAUGUUUGUAUGAACAAUAUAGUUUCCUUAAAAAAAUAAGGCAUUCUAACUUUUAUCAGAGAUGAUAUAUUAUCAAAAGUAAACUCUUUACCUUAAUAUGCCACUCAUAGGCAUAUGAUUCGCAACAUUCUUUCUGUCUUUUAUGUUACUUUGCCCCUUCUUUAGUUACUAAAUUUGAUUCUACACAUACAGCCUUGGUUCCCCAUUCUUUCUUCCUGCUAGCCAUUCUGGACUCUGGCCAGAUUUGAUUGUUCUCUUGUUUAUGUUACCAUGGAACUUAGUUUAUGUAGCUCUAGCAAUGUGAUUGCAUUGGAUUAUAAUUUUUUGUGUCUUCAUCUCCCACAAAAAGAAGCCAUUCUUCCUAUCUUCUUCCUAAGUGAGGGAUGUAUACUUCCAUUCUUCUUGAAUAUCUACCCAGAAGUAGAACCUCUGAGUUAAAUGAUAUGCAAUACCAAGAGUGAACAACAAGAGCAACACUAAGAGUGAUAGUGAUGUAUCGAUGUGGGUUAUAAUGAAGAUAACCAUUUUGG